rnacentral:rRNA from 1 species
UACGUAGGGUGCAAGCGUUAAUCGGAAUUACUGGGCGUAAAGCGUGCGCAGGCGGUGAUGUAAGACAGAUGGGAAAUCCCCGGGCUCAACCUGGGAACUGCAUUUGUGACUGCAUCGCUGGAGUGCGGCAGAGGGGGAUGGAAUUCCGCGUGUAGCAGUGAAAUGCGUAGAUAUGCGGAGGAACACCGAUGGCGAAGGCAAUCCCCUGGGCCGGCACUGACGCUCAUGCACGAAAGCGUGGGGAGCAAACAGG